rnacentral:snRNA from 1 species
AUACAUUUCUCGGCCUUUUGACUAAGAUAAUGUGUAAUAUUUAUUCUUAUCAGUUUAAUAUCUGAUAUAUAGAUCAUAUGUUUACUUUGAUACUAAAUUUACUUUUU